rnacentral:rRNA from 1 species
UGGGCGUUUGCUGGGGCGGUCGCCUCCCAAAAGGUAACGGAGGCGCUCAAAGGUUCUCUCAGUACGGUCGGAAAUCGUACGUAGAGUGUAAAGGCAAAAGAGAGCUUGAUUGCAAGACAUACAGGGCGAGCAAGGAUGAAAAUCGGACUUAGUGAUCCGGUGGUUCUGCGUGGAAGGGCCAUCGCUCAACGGAUAAAAGCUACCCUGGGGAUAACAGGCUUAUCUCCCCCAAGAGUCCACAUCGACGGGGAGG